rnacentral:rRNA from 1 species
GUUUGAUCAUGGCUCAGAUUGAACGCUGGUGGCAUGCUUAACACAUGGAUGUCGAACGGUACAGGACUAGCUUGCUAGUUGCUGACGAGUGGCGGACGGGAGAGUAACGCGUAGGAAUCUGUCCACCUGAGGGGGGUACCAGUUGGAAACGACUUUUAAUACCGCAUAGUACCUGUGGAUUAAAGGUGGCUUUUGGGAUGUCGCAGAUGGAUGAGCCUGCAUUUGACUAGCUAGUUGGUGGGCUAAGGGGGUACCAAGGCUACGAUCCAUAGCUGCUUUGAGAGGAUGAUCAGCCACAUUCUGACUGAGACACGGCCCAAACUCAUACGGGAGGCAGCAGUGAGGAAUAUUAGACAAUGGGGGCCACCCUGAUCCAGCAAUGCCAUGUGUGUGAAGAAGGCCUUAGGGUUGUAAAGCACUUUAGUUGGGGAAGAAAGCUUUGAGGUUAAUAGCCUUGAGGAAAAUGACGUUACCCAAAGAAUAAGCACCGGCUAACUCCGUGCCGGCAGCCGCGGUAAUACGGGGGGUGCAAGCGUUAAUCGGAAUUACUGGGCGUAAAGGGUCUAUAGGUGGUUUGUUAAGUCAGAUGUGAAAACCUAG